GUAUGCGGCAUCGACUGUCGUUGCCGAUGCUACCGGAAAGAUGACCAAACUUGAUCAUUUAGAGGGAGUAAAAGUCGUAACAAUGUUUCCGUAGGUCAACCUGCGGGAGGUUCAUUACC
rnacentral:rRNA from 1 species